rnacentral:lncRNA from 1 species
CACCUGUCAGUAACAUGGGGUAACCCUGAUUGAUCAGCUGAGAACCCUCCUCCCACAACACCCGCCGCUCUCUAAAGUUUGUACUGGCAUAUAUACCUGCAAGGACCCACGGGCUUCGAUUAUCCUCCGAGAUCACGAAAACCACCUCUUGGUUGCAUACAUUGAACACAUCCAAUUUGCAACCUCUUUGAGCCCAUGUAACAAUAAUGUCUCCCGACAAGCCUUAAGAUUCGACUGCAUAAAACCCCUAAGACCUCAAAACUGCCCUCCUAGCCUUCUGAAGGCUCCUCCCGGAUC